AGUCGUUUCUUAAGAAGAAAAAAAAACCCACCUUCUUCAUCUGUUAUGUUUAUGGUUUUGUGGAGGUGAGUCCUAGACGAAAUUUAACAAACGAUUUUGAUCUUAAUUUACAAGAUGAUUUUGAUUUUAGUGUAUGGAAUGCCCAUAAUAAUUUGGAAGAAUCAUUAUCAUGCGCAGAAAAAGAUUCUCAACCGACAAACGAAAUUUCAUAUGAAGAAGAGGUAGACAGAAACAACUACAGGGAACACAAUGAGAACAUUAUGUCAAUAGAUCGAGAAAAAUUUUUGAUGGGAUUGUUGAUGAAGUAGAUCCAUUGAAUAACACAUAAGAGUUGUCCGAUGAAGAGAUCAAUUGUAUUCGCCUAUACAUCGGGAAAGAAUUUGAAUUACAAGAUGAAGCUUACAAUUUCUAUAAUCGGUAUGCAGGUAGUACUGGAUUUAGUAUUCGCUGGCAUACCACUCACAAGUAUAGAGUUGAGACUUUUGAAGUGAUACGACGCACAUUUUGUUGCAAUCGUCAAAGGGUACGAGAUCCUAAAUCUAAGCCUGUUGAACAAAGAAAAAGGAACCAUGCUGAUAUAAGGGCAAACUGUAAUGUCGCUAUGGUUAUAGUAAAGAAAAAUAGUAGGUGGGUUGUAGCUCAUGUUACAAAAGAACAUAGUCAUAAGAUUGUCUCUCUAAGUAAAAGACACAAUAUUCGGUCACUGAGAAAAAUAAGUAGCAGCCAAAAACAAGUUCUCGUCAACAUGCGCUUAGCAGGUGUCAAAACAAAUCAAAUGAUGAAUUACUUAACAGUUGAAUCAGGUGGUGUUAGGAACAUUGGAUUUCUUGGAAAGGAUGCAAGAAAUUAUCUAAGUACAAAAUGUCAGUUGGAGCUAAAACGUGGAGAUUCCUAAGUUGUACUUAACUACUUUGAACGUCUACAAGUGGAGAAUCCAUCAUUUUUUUAUUCAAUCCAAGUUGAUUCUGAAAGCCAGAUGACAACUUUUUUGGGGCUGAUGCUAAAUCUAGGAUGGAUUAUUACUAUUUUGGCGACGUAGUAAUGCACGACAUGGAUGAGGCCGCUUGUUUGUUCCGAUUGUGGGAUUUAAUCAUCAUUAUCAAAUUGUAUUGUUUGGUGGAGCUUUGCUUUAUUCUGAAAGUGAGGAAUCAUUUGAAUGGAUAAUGAAAACAUGGAUGAGGGAAAUGCACGACAAAGCACCGAAAGUGAUUCUUAGAAUCAUCUAUUGGAGGUGCUAUUGCAAAUGUUCUACCAGGUACGCAUCAUAGAUUUUUCUUUUGGCAUAUAUGUAGAAAUGUUAUGAAUAAUUUGUCUAAUGUGAGGAAAGAAUUCAUUUCAGAAUUUAACAAUUGCUUAUAUGGAUAUGAAACGGUUGAAAACUUUGAGCGGGCAACAAUGCUUAAAAAUCACAAUUUGGAAAAAAAAACAAAUGGUUUUCGACAUUAUACAGCAAACGCGUACAUUGUGCAUCGGUCUACACGCGUGAUAUAUUUUGUGCAGAUAUGCAUACAACACAACAAAGUGAAAGUAUUAAAUUUUAGUUUGAUGGAUUUUUAAAAAGAGAUAUACCUUUGUGUGAAUUUGUCCAGCAGUUUGGAAGAGCAAUAGUUGCAAGAGGAGAGGCAGAAAACAAUAUGGAGUAUCAAACAAUAUAUACAAGUCUUGUAUUAAGGUUUCGAAUGUGUAUUGAGAAAGAUGCAGCUUUGGUGUACACAAAGAUAAUUUUCAGUAAAUUCCAAGAACAGUUAACUGAUUUUUUUUGUUAUAUUCAUGAAAGAGUGGAAAAAAGUGGAACAAUGAUCACUUAUCACGUAUCUAGAGAUGAAUAUGUGCAUAAACACCGAACAGUGGUAUUUGACUCUUCAAGUAAGAGUGCUUAGUGCAGUUGUGUAUCGUACGAGUUUGCUGGUUACUUGUGCAGAUACGUCUUAAAAGUUUUCGUAGUCAAGAAUGUUCAAAAUAUUCCAACUCAACAUGUUCUAAAAAGGUGGACCAAAGAUGCUAAAUCUGGACAUGUGCUGUUUGAACAAGGAAAAAAAAUCAUAGCUGAUUGUCAGUUAACAAAAACAGUUAGAUAUAGCAGACUUUGGCAAGAUGCAAUUAAUAUUACAAUUAAAGGCUCGACAUCAAUCAAGCUAUAGAAACAUGGCAGUACAAGUGUUACAGAAAACUUUAGAAAAAAUCCUCUCAAGUAAAUCCAAAUGGAGAACCUGAUGUUAUACAUUAUGAGGAUACUUUUAAGACAAGAAGAAAAUGUAGAAAACCAAUCAAAUUUCCAAAGAUCAUUAAAAGAACCACCAAUUGUAAAGCGUAAAGGCAAACCUGGUAGAAGGAAGUCAUGGGUUGACAAGCUCAAUAGGGAUCAGAAGAGCAAGAAAACGAAUAGAAAAACAUGAUCAAAAGAUUCAUUAAGGUUGCCGGCACCAACAUCAAUUGAAUUGGACAUUGCUAACUCUCAAGACAAGCAACAGAAGAAAAGUAAAAAAUCAGUCGCAUUAGAUAAUGCGAAAUCUCAAGACAAGCAACCGAAGAAAGGAAAAACAUGUAUUGCGUAACUAUUCUUCAAUCUUUUUUUUAUAAUCAACCUCUUCAUUUUUAUUCUUAUCAUCAACUAACAAGUUUGGAUUUGGUAGAAAUGAAUUUAGAAGAUGUAUAUACUAGGAUCUGGUAUAAAUGAAUUUAGAAUAUGUAGACACUAGAUAAGGGUGAUAAUUUCUCUCACACUUGUUAGUUAGUAGAUAUGGAUAUGUUUACAUUUAUUGGCUUUUGCUUUA